UACAAGUAAGACUAGUGUUAUUCAUCUUUAUUAGGUUAAGGUACCUAGACAGUAGAUUAAGCCUUGAAGGUACUUGUUUGCUAGAGUUAUAUGUGAGAGGUAGAUAUUAGUAUUAUUUGGUGUAGAGAUGAAAUUCUUUGAUACGUUAAUAAGAACGGAUAAAGGCGAAGGCAACCCUCUAUGUAAUAACUGACGUUGAGGGACGAAGGCU
rnacentral:rRNA from 1 species